rnacentral:rRNA from 1 species
AUUGCAGUAGGGAAUCUUCGGCAAUGGACGAAAGUCUGACCGAGCGACGCCGCGUGCGGGAAGACGGCCUUCGGGUUGUAAACCACUGUGGGAGGGGAAUAAAAAAAUGAAGGUACCCUCCUAGAAAGCACCUGCUAACUACGUGCCAGAAGCCUCGGUAAUACGUAGGGUGCAAGCGUUAUCCGGAUUUACUGGGCGUAAAGCGUAUCGCAGGCGGAUGUGCACGUGGCGGGUUCAAGCCUGGGGCUCAACUCCAGAACCGCUCGUCAUACGGCACGUCUAGAGUAUGCAAGAGGGAACUGGAACUCUCGGUGGAGGGGUGAAAUCCGUAGAUAUCGAGAAGAACGCCAAUGGUGAAGACAGGUUCCUGGGGCAUUACUGACGCUCAUGAACGACAGCUUGGGGAGCAAAAGGGAUUAGAGACCCCUGUAGUCCAAGCCGUAAACACUGCUUGCUAGGUGUUCCGUUUCGACGGGGUGCCGUAAGCUAACGCGUUAAGCAAGCCGCCUGGGGAGUACGGCCGCAAGGCUAAAACUCAAAGGAAUUGACGGAAUC